GAUGAACGCUAGCGAUAGGCUUAACACAUGCAAGUCGAGGGGCAGCAUGGUCUUAGCUUGCUAAGACUGAUGGCGACCGGCGCACGGGUGCGUAACGCGUAUGCAACUUGCCUCACAGAGGGGGAUAACCCGUCGAAAGACGGACUAAUACCGCGUACACUCCAUCUUGGGCAUCCAAGGUAGAGGAAAUGAACUUCGCUGUGAGAUAGGCAUGCGUCCCAUUAGCUAGUUGGUGAGGUAACGGCUCACCAAGGCGACGAUGGGUAGGGGAACUGAGAGGGUGCACCCCCACACUGGUACUGGGACACAGACCAGACUCCUACGAGAGGCAGCAGUGAGGAAUAUUGGUCAAUGGGCGAGAGCCUGAACCAGCCAAGUCGCGUGAAAGAUGACUGUCUUAUGGAUUGUAAACUUCUUUUAUGCGGGAAUAACAAGAGUCACGUGUGACUCCCUGCAUGUACCGGAUGAAUAAGCAUCGGCUAACUCCGUG
rnacentral:rRNA from 1 species